rnacentral:rRNA from 1 species
UCCGUAGGGGGCUAGCGUUGUCCGGAUUUAUUGGGCGUAAAGAGCGUGUAGGCGGCCAGGUAGGUCUGCUGUGAAAACUCGAGGCUCAACCUCGAGACGUCGGCGGAAACCAUCUGGCUAGAGUCCGGAAGAGGAGAGUGGAAUUCCUGGUGUAGCGGUGAAAUGCGCAGAUAUCAGGAAGAACACCCGUGGCGAAGGCGGCUCUCUGGGACGGUACUGACGCUGAGACGCGAAAGCGUGGGGAGCGAACAGG